rnacentral:rRNA from 1 species
UAAGGAGGGAUGUUCCUAAGGUGUGAUUAGCGAUUGGGGUGAAGUCGUAACAAGGUAUCCGUACGGGAACGUGCGGAUGGAUCACCUCCUUUCUAAGGAGA